UACGUAGGGCGCAAGCGUUAUCCGGAAUUAUUGGCGUAAAGAGCUCGUAGGCGGUUUGUCGCGUCUGCCGUGAAAGUCCGGGCUCAACUCCGGAUCUGCGGUGGGUACGGGCAGACUAGAGUGCAGUAGGGGAGACUGGAAUUCCUGGUGUAGCGGUGAAAUGCGCAGAUAUCAGGAGGAACACCGAUGGCGAAGGCAGGUCUCUGGGCUGUAACUGACGCUGAGGAGCGAAAGCAUGGGGAGCGAACAGG
rnacentral:rRNA from 1 species